CGGCACGGGUGAGUAACACGUAUCCAACCUGCCGUCUACUCUUGGACAGCCUUCUGAAAGGAAGAUUAAUACAAGAUGGCAUCAUGAGUCCGCAUGUUCACAUGAUUAAAGGUAUUCCGGUAGACGAUGGGGAUGCGUUCCAUUAGAUAGUAGGCGGGGUAACGGCCCACCUAGUCUUCGAUGGAUAGGGGUUCCGAGAGGAAGGUCCCCCACAUUGGGACUGAGACACGGUCCAA
rnacentral:rRNA from 1 species